GACGAACGCUGGCGGCGUGCCUAAUACAUGCAAGUCGAACGCAGUUGCGAACGGGUGAGUAACGCGUAGGUAACUUCCUUAUAGCAGGGGAUAAAUAUUGGAAACGAUAGCUAAUACCGCAUACUUUGAGUUGGACCUGUGUUGUAUUAGGUAGUUGGUGAGGUAAAGGCCGACCAAGGCGACGAUACAUAGCCGGACUGAGAGGGUGGUCGGCCCACCCGGGACUGGAGAACCGCCCAAGCUCCUUCGGGGGGCAACAGUAGGGGAUCUUUGGCAAUGGGCGGAAAGCUGGACGAGGAAAGCCGGCUUGGGGAAGAAGGGUUUCGGAUCGUAAAGCUCUGUUGUUAGGGAAGCGGUAACUAACCAGAAAGGGACGGCUAACUACGUGCCAGCAGCCGCGGUAAUAC
rnacentral:rRNA from 1 species